CAUUCUCACUUUGUGAUUAGAGAGAUACCCUUCCAGGGCCACCCACGCCCAACUAACACCACACGCCAUCCCCUACAUAGAGUGUGAUGUGUGUGUGUCCCACAUUCAGCUUAAAAUCAUACUUCACAAAACCACAUUUAAUUCCACACAGUGUGCUCUCAGGCUUUAAAUGAAUGUGUAAUCACGUAGCUAGCUGUCGAGUCCAACUGGGAAACAAGACUGGGUUACGCUGAUCCAGGAUGUAGGGAACAGGGAACAGAACAAGCUGGUGAGUGACCUUACUUCCUGUCUGGUGUGACUCUUCAGAACUCCUGCUCCCAGACCCACCAAAGUGCCAACUGCCAACUCACACAGUCCCUCCAGCUUUAAUGUUUGUUUUAUUUAACCCUAAAAUUACUAAGGUAAGUUGACUGAGAAGAGAAUACAUUCUGAUUCACAGCACAGAAGAGGAGGAGAAAUAAGAGGAGAGGGGUUGGAUGAGCCAAUUGGAAGGUGAGAAUAAUUAGGUGAUGGUCAUGAUAGUAUGAGGGCCAGGUUGAGAAUUUAGCCUGGAAACCAAGGUUAACACCCAUACUGCUACAUGUUAUUUAUUUAGCCUGGACACCAGGGUUAACACCCAUACUACUACAUGUUGUUUAGCCUGGACACCAGGGUUAUCACCCAUACUACUACAUGUUGUUUAUUUAGCCAGGACACCAGGGUUAACACCCAUACUACUACAUGUUGUUUAUUUAGCCUGGACACCAGGGUUAACACCCAUACUACUACAUGUUGUUUAUUUAGCCAGGACACCAGGGUUAACACCAAUACGACUACAUGUUGUUUAUUUAGCCUGGACACCAGGGUUAUCACCCAUACUACUACAUGUUGUUUAUUUAGCCAGGACACCAGGGUUAACACCCAUACUACACAUGUUGUUUAGCCUGGACACCAGGGUUAUCACCCAUACUACUACAUGUUGUUUAUUUAGCCUGGACACCAGGGUUAUCACCCAUACUACUACAUGUUGUUUAUUUAGCCAGGACACCAGGGUUAUCACCCAUACUACUACAUGUUGUUUAUUUAGCCUGGACACCAGGGUUAUCACCCAUACUACUACAUGUUGUUUAUUUAGCCUGGACACCAGGGUUAUCACCCAUACUACUACAUGUUGUUUAUUUAGCCUGGACACCAGGGUUAACACCCAUACUACACAUGUUGUUUAGCCUGGACACCAGGGUUAUCACCCAUACUACUACAUGUUGUUUAUUUAGCCUGGAUACCAGGGUUAACACCCAUACUUACUGUGACUCGGUUUGACAUCUUAUUCUUAGGGCAACACCGUUUGAAGGGUGUAAGUCCAUGACUAUCCAGCCACCACCCUCUAACCUCCCCCACCGUUCCCUCCUUCUUUCCCUCCCUUUCUCUUCCCAUUGUCUCAAGGAGAAAGUGAGGCCUGCCUUGUUUCAGAAACAGUCAGACAAGUGUCAACGUCUCCUGUGGAUCACAUUGCAUGUGGAGCGCAGCCAUGUGUCUUUUGCUAGUCUUCUUGGUUUUGACCACUGCCUGACUCUGGACUACUUUCCUUCCUGCCUGCCUGAUCAUCCUGCCUGUCCUGACCUUGAAUCUGCCUGCCCUUCGGUACCUAUUGGACUCUGAACUGGUUUUGACCUUUUGCCUGUCCACAACCAUUCUCUUGCCUACCC
rnacentral:lncRNA from 1 species